AUUGAACGCUGGCGGCAGGCUUAACACAUGCAAGUCGAGCGGGGUGAUGGUGCUUGCACUAUCACUUAGCGGCGGACGGGUGAGUAAUGCUUAGGAAUCUGCCUAUUAGUGGGGGACAACAUCUCGAAAGGGAUGCUAAUACCGCAUACGUCCUACGGGAGAAAGCAGGGGAUCACUUGUGACCUCGCGCUAAUAGAUGAGCCUAAGUCGGAUUAGCUAGUUGGUGGGGUAAAGGCCUACCAAGGCGACGAUCUGUAGCGGGUCUGAGAGGAUGAUCCGCCACACUGGGACUGAGACACGGCCCAGACUCCUACGGGAGGCAGCAGUGGGGAAUAUUGGACAAUGGGGGGAACCCUGAUCCAGCCAUGCCGCGUGUGUGAAGAAGGCCUUAUGGUUGUAAAGCACUUUAAGCGAGGAGGAGGCUCCUUUGGUUAAUACCCAAGAUGAGUGGACGUUACUCGCAGAAUAAGCACCGGCUAACUCUGUGCCAGCCGCCGCCGUAA
rnacentral:rRNA from 1 species